rnacentral:rRNA from 1 species
AGUCGAACGAGGCUUCGAGCCGAGUGGCGGACGAGUGAGUAACACGUACCUUACCUACCCAUAAGUGGGGAAUAAUUCGUCGAAAGACGAACUAAUACCGCAUGUGCUCUACGGAGUAAAGCUUUUGCGCUUAUGGAUGGGGGUGCGUCCUAUCAGCUAGUUGGUGAGGUAAUGGCUCACCAAGGCUAUGACGGGUAGCUGGUCUAAGAGGAUGAUCAGCCACGCUGGGACUGAGAUACGGCCCAGACUCC